UUGGUGUUACCUCCCCCUCUUCCGCCGUCCUUUCCUGUUCAGGGUUCCGUUCCGAUCCUUUCCAUGGCGGCUUCCGACGUCGAGUUCCGCUGCUUCGUAGGCGGGCUCGCCUGGGCUACCGACGACGCCUCCCUUGAGCGGGCUUUCAGCACCUACGGCGACAUCGUCGAGUCUAAGGUCCCUUAUCUUCUCCAGAUCCAAGAUCUCAACUCGGGUUUCGAUCCUUUUUCCCUACUAGAUCUCGGAUCUCAGACCUCUUUCGUUGUGUUUUACGGUGCAGAUCAUCAACGACCGAGAGACGGGGAGGUCGAGGGGCUUCGGGUUCGUCACCUUCCGCGACGAGCAGUCGAUGAGGGACGCCAUCAAGGGGAUGAACGGCCAGACCCUUGACGGCCGGAACAUCACAGUAAACGAGGCCCAGAACCGCCGGAGCGAUGGUGGAUUCCGCAGCGGAGGUGGUGGGUACGGCGGCGGCGGAGGCUUUCGCAGCGGAGGCGGUGGGUACGGCGGCGGCGGAGGAGGUUUUCGCAGCGGCGGCGGCGGCGGGUACGGCGGCGGCGGCGGUCGCCGUGACGGAGGCGGUGGUUACGGCCGCGACCGCGGGUACGGCGGUGGAUCGUCGGAUGGGUACUGGAGGAGCUAAGGCGGUCGUUCGCUUGCCGCGAUCGGAGGGCUGGGCUUCGUAGUUAUCUGCUGCUUUGGUUAUCUUUAAGUUUGGACUUGUCUGUUGUCUGGCGUCAUUUUGGGUCUUGCAGUAUUAGUAGACUGAUGGUUGUGGUUUGGCAGUCGUAUGAGUGGGUGUUAUUAUCAAAGAAUAGAAAAGAAAAGACUUUUAAAAUAAGGUGAAUAAGUGCCUGAAGAAAAGCAUCCUUUCUACUUGACAUUAAUAUGUUGACGACGAUGCGUUUGGGGUGGAAUAGAUGAACAUCUGUUGUUAAUUAUUUCACUAUUAUCGUCUUACUAUCCCAAAGUAAAGGAGGGUGAAGUGUGUGCUAGUUAGUUUUGAGUAUAAACAUUUAAAAAUAGCAGCCAAAUUAUUUUCGGUUAAAACUUUUUUUUUAAGUUUUUAUUUUAUUUUCAUAGAGUAUUUUUUUAAUAAUAAAAAUAUGAUUAAUUUUAUUCUUUAUUCACUAUCCUUGUUUCUUAUUAUCGAGACGUAUCAUCGACUUUCACCCUUCAUUUUCAUCUACAACGAGGGCAUCUUAAAUCCCUUUUAUGUCAUUAUUGAUCUUGUCGUGAGGUUUUCGCCUUUUGUGUCUUUAUCACUUUUGAGGAGUGCGUCUUUAACCCCUUUCAUCGAAAAUAAAACAAAAACAAAAGGAGUAAAAAAAAUGAGAACGGCAGAUUUUUAUUUUGUCUUUUAAGAAUUUUAUUCUUAAUUUAUUAAGCAAUAAAUCACCCAUUGAUCAAAUUAUUUUAUACAAUCCAAUUCCUACAAUCUAAUCUAAUCUAAUCAUACAGCAGAAUCCAGCUGCAGGGAUCUGGAAUUCCCAAGCUUUUCUAGCUUACAUUUGAAACGUGAUAUCAAAAAUAGCUAUACUUGGAUUGCCUUGCGAGUAACAAGCCAGCUUGAAUUGCCCAGACAAAACAAACAUCUCACUGGGCUGUGGGCGGAGUACGGAGUCAUGCGUGCUCCGUAUCAAAGCUUGGACGGGACGGCUCGUCCCUCGGUGCCUUCCCAUUUGACGUUACCCUCUGCCACCCCCUAAACAAGAUGAAAACGCUAAUAUCAUACCCCGCUACUCAUUAGGAAAACAAAAGAAUCCUUCCUUUGUUCUAUCUCCGAAGCUUUUUCCAAUCUUUCUACUGAAUUUUGAGCAACUACAUAUGCCUGCCACUACAGGUUUAGACAAGUGAACCAAGCAAGAGGAAGAGGAACCUAAUGCAGUGAUGCACUAUGAUCUAACUCCAUUCACCAAACACAGGCUGUAAAGUUUCGACGGUUCCCUACUGAGUUGGCGCACGCGAGAAGUCAACUUCGCUUCGCUCUUUUUCUCCGAACAAAAGAACACCACCCUUUUCCUGCUCAUUCAUAGGUCAAUGGCGAAGAAUCAAAACAAUGAGAGAUCAGUUAAUACAUCACAAUAAGAUGUCAUCUGUUCCAUGACAAUUUCGUGUCAACACAAAGGGCAGAUGGAGUACCAAAUUUCUCUACGAAUAGAUAAGGGGACGCUGUCAGUGCAUCUUAGCGAAGAAGUAUGCAAGACACAAGAAAAGAUCUUCAUGGAAAUCGUCAAGCCAAACAAUAAAAGCCAUGGAAUUUGCAGGAUGCGCAAUAAAUCAACAUGGUUAGUGCUUUAUUCUUGAAGAAGAAGAAGAAGAAGAAGAAGAAGAAGAUGCCUUUUUUUUUUAUCUAUAGUAUCGAGUGAUCACACUGAAUUUUGCCAGAAUGUGUUCUGCAGAUCAAUUGCCAUUUACAAGAAUGCUCCGUCGCAGCAGCUGAGGCACUGCAGAUCUCAUCCUACCUCGACGUAUCCACGUCUCCGUCUUUGGAAGCGGAAUCCGACGACGCAAUAGCUUGCCUUGCUUCCUAAGACCAUUAGAACGAACGCUCUCUAAAAGAAUUCCCCUCAAGAUGAUAAAAGAAGAAGAGAUCCUCCAUACCUUGCUUUGCUUCCUAAGCUUGACGAGGUCACCUACCCCUCUGAUCGUCUUCUUGAGACAAAUCCUAUGCUGAUCCAUGGGCGUGCUGACGAACUGGUCGAAGUGGUCCUUGACGUUGGCCAAGAAGCCGGCGUCGGGCGCCUUCUUCUUCCAACAAGGCGAGACGGCACGGCCGGGGAACUCCACCUCCGAUCGACCCUUGGCUGACUCCAUCAUCUCCAGAAACCUAUUCCCAGUGUCCGAUCACCAAAUGCUCUAUGUUGGCAGAACAGAGCACGCCUUUGAAUUAAAAUACCACUGGUGCCACCGCAUGGUACGAUUUACAUUAAUUUAAUUUGCGGUUUGAAUUCGACAGAAAAUGAGAAAUCACGACACGACAAGCCCUCACGCUUCUACCAAGAACAAAGAGCAACAGCAUGAUGCACUCACUUUCAGAGGAGCAUAACAGAGAUACUGUGGUGGUCGCCUUUAGCUGCAAGAAGCGGAAAGAGGAAGAGAGAGACAGGCAGGCCAGCAGAGAUGCCAAAUGUUUGAAAGGCGAGGAUGGAAAUUAAUAGGAGAGAGAGAAAGAGGGUGGGGAGAAGGAUGACGCGGAAUCGAAAGAAAUCUACCUAGUUCCGCCCAUUGGAAGGGAAGAGCGGGGUCGGUUUUGCUCUCGAGACUUGCUUUGCCUUUCGGGUCUCGGACGCCGACAUUUGACUGGAUUUGCUGGGUGUGAAGAACGACGGCGGGCCGGAAGCCGUGCGCUUGCGGUUCCCUAUUCGCCCCCGAAGAAUCUUAUUCACGCUACGAAAAGAUUGCGGUUGGCUUUUGCAAGAUAUUUAUGAUGCCGACUAUAAUUGCGGUUGGCUUUUGGAUCUUGUGGAGCAUAUUCCACGAUUCGGGCCACUCGUCCCGAGGGCUCGCCCCCGAUCGUGGAGGGUUUCGUUCGGUGAGAGUAGAAAAAAUCUGUGUCAUCAAAUCAUUCUUAUGCUUGUGGAUUUGACAUGGGAUAUUGUUGGUCUAUUUUUGAUAUCGCUUAUUAAUCAAUUAUCUUGAAUGAGUUCACAGGUGGAGUGUUAGCGGCAGCGUCGGUCCUCUUCCUUCGCUGAAAGGCAACCUGCGUCGCCCUCAUCAUCGCUGCUGGCGGCGUGCCUUUCGAAAGGGUUCGUACGCUGUUUCACUUUAUUCCUUGAGCUUUACUCUUCGUAAUCGGUGAAGUAAAGACCGGCCCCCUAAAUCACGGGAAACGGCAGCCUUUUACCCCUUUCCUAUCGGGUCGUCUGGUCACUGAUUUCAGUCUAGGAGGCCUGCACGUUACCUGUUCGACGUAAUGAUCGAGACAAAAUAUGUCCUCCGUGACCUGCGUCCGCCAUACUAGGAGUAAUGUGCGGUCGUGCAUGGCGAUUGCCCUUCUUUCACAGUUUCAGUUAAUCAAAUAAAGAGGCUAGUUUGGUUGGAAUUUUCCACCUUAAGUUCCCAGCUAGAUUUUGUGGGUUGAAAUGUUGGGUUAAGGAAGAUGGAACUUGUAAUAGAUGAUAAACCCCCGUUUCCCGACGGUGAAUUGAUUGGAACCUGUGUAUUUGAACAUCUGAAAAUAUGCCACACGUCCCGUCCCGGGAGCUCAGAGCGAUGUCGCCUGACGCUGCUCUGCACGUCCCGGAAUGAUGGCCGGUCAGAAGGGUCGUCUCAUCCCUCGGGGGUUGCGGCGACGUCGAAUCGACGCACCAUCAACCCUCGCGCCAUAGUAUAAAACCCCUAGCCGGCCUCCAACCAGGGGAGAGGCAAAAAACAAAAGGGAAAAAGAAAAGCAAUCUCUCUUAUUACUAAUUUGAUCGUCGGAGGGGCCAUAGCCGGGGAUCAUCCGGCGGAGGCCAUUUUUGCAGGAGGGCGACCACUUGUUGACGACGAGGGACUCGGCACAGGAGCACCAGUCGUCCGACAAUGUGGAGUUGUUAAUCAGCCCCAAUCUCGACCAACGCCAACAACACUCCUUCCCGAGGGCCUGGCCACCUCAUCAUCCAGAUCACCCCACAAUAGGCUCCCGACAUCGACCCGUGGACCUAGCUGUGCUGACUCAACGGCCAUGAUAUAUUUGUUCGCUAACAAUAUGGACUCAGCAUGUGCAUUUUAGGUUCUCGUCUAUAUCUUGUAAGUUUGUAAUCAAUUUAUGAUUUGGAUCUUAAUUUGAUCAGACACUUAUUCUUCUUUUCAUCACAUAGUGAGUGUUUCCGGAUUGAUGCUUGCCAGAGCAGAUCUAUUUGUAGGAUUCUGAGUCGAUGUUUCUGCUGCAGUGCUACUAUCAAACAUUCGAGUUAGAGAUGUAAGUAAGAUAGUUCUCGAGAAGUUUCGUGAUGAUGAAGUAGGUAAUAUUAUGGUUCUUGUGAUUACCAAGCCAUUAGAUUGUUCAUACAAAUCAGAAGCUUAUUUGCACAAUAUGUGUUUGAUGGUAUACAGCUUGGAAAAUGGCUUUAGCGAUAAAAAAUUGUUUGUUGUUGGGGGAAAAGAAUUAAUCGAUAGCUUAUAGAUAAAAGAGAUGGGCCUGCAGUAGAUGCAUUUGAAUUCCUCAAAUAAUUGUCACAUAUAAAACUGACAUAUAAAUCAUCUAAGCACCUUUCUUGAAUUAACUGGACGAGACGGUUUUUUGAAAUGCAUCAUGAUGUUGAAUGAGCCAAUUGGCUGAUUCUCUUCUCUUAUCACUUCGGCCACCUUCUGUUUAUGUUCGAAAUUUCAGAAUGAUUUUGUGCUAUGUGCACCAUCUUGUACAGCCUCAGACAGUGUGAGACAAGCGAUCGUCCCACCCGAGUCUAAGGUGAUGUCGAUGCGAUGCACUAUAUUAGCUCUGAGGCUCCAUGUUGGUAUUAACGUGGCUACUGAUUGUUGUCGCAAGGGGUGACCCUAGAAUAUGCCCUAUCAACAUUGAUGAAGUUGUAAAGACAAAGCAAGAUAAGAAAUCAAAAUGAAGCUAAAAAAUCACAACAACACUUAUUUGUGUGUUCAUUUUGUUGUUUAGGUAUUUUUUUAUGAAAGAAGUUGUUGAUGUUCUGAUCAACUUGAUGUGAGCCAGCCUCUUAUAUGCAGGGUUGUUCAAAAUACCUCUGACAUGAAAAUGUUGAGCUCUCGAAAUAUUACUUGUACGAAGAUCGAGGUUGAGAGGUUUCUCGACCCGAUCCCUCCAACGAGGUUAAAAAGAUGAUCCUUUAUUCAUUAUAUUGAAGAUAAGCCUUUAUACCUAAUCGUAAAAAGCUAGACUAUUUCAUGAAAUCUUUUACGAAGAGGCAAUCUCUAAUUGCCUCCAAUAUUUCUCUUAGCCUCGUAUUAAUGUGAGCGACUGAGGGGGGGGCAACGAACAACCAUGUCUUAGACCUUUUCCCAUGUGGGUAGACAGGUGGAGAGUGGCCUUCAUUUUUCUCUUUCAACACUAGACACCAUAUGGUGGUAAUAUAUCGAAUGAUAAUUAGCUAACAAUUGACUCCUUAUCAUGUAUCCCCCCCCCCCCUUAAAGGUGUGCUUCGGGGCUCUCAUGAGAGAGAUUUGAAGUGCAGCGUUUAGUUCAUCUAGUACAUCAAGCUUAUGCUUCUUUGAUCCAUCAUCAACCUAGUGGCACAUCUAGUUCAUCUGACAUGUUUAGUUCAUCGUGCCCGUGCAAUAUUGAUGGUGAUCUAUCGUCGACUUAUUCUUCAUAUCAUCGAGGGAUGCACUUUGGUUGGAUGGGGUUGGGUUUCCUGACCUCGCCAUCUCUUCCCUACUUGGUUAAGUUUGUAUAUUGGUAUGUCUCGAGCGGGGGAGGGGGUCGUGUUUUCCGACCUUCAUGUCUCAGACAAAGGUGGGGGUCAGGUUUCCUAACCUCCUCAUCUCGAGUGAAUGUAGGGUUCAAGUUUUUUGACCUCUACGACUCAACGAUGACCUUAAGCGAAGGAGGAGGGGGUCAGGUUUCCCGACCUCUCUGCCUCACGCACCACGAGCAUGUUUUAUCUUGUGCCUCCCGUCGUGGUGAGUUUCUUUUGAUGCAGGUUGUAUUUUCUCGACUCACAUAUAUUGGACAUAUUUUGUCUUAUGCUUUAUGUCGUUAUGAGUUUCUUUUAACACAGGUCGGAUUUUCUAUACAUCGGUUACUUUUACGCUCUUUGAGGUGCUUUUCGUACAUUGGUCACUUUUCCACUCUCCAAGGUGGUCUUCAUACAUCAAUCACUUUUUGCAUUCUCUGAUACAAUCUUCGCAAAUCAAUCACUUUUGCGCUCUCCGAGGAAGUCUUCGCACAUUGAUCGCUUUUUCGCUCUCUAAGGUGCCCUUUCAUCAAUUGAUUUCCUUUCGGAUUCAACUUAAUAGGAUACUUGUCUUCAAUGUGGGAGAAAAGAGAUCGACCCCCUCCUUAUAAAUCCCCCUUAAUCAUAGGGGUGAGACUUAUUCUCUCAUUUGAGCCUCUAAGGCCCCCAUUAGGAGCCCUCUCCACUUAGCACUGGUUCUCCUUGUAAGGUGAUAAGUUCUUAAUUACCUCAUCCUCUCAGCGUAUCGGAUCUAUAACACCUCGGCCUUUCAACAUCCUUUGCUUUCACCUUCGUAAGUUGGGAUAUAUUUCCUUUCUCGCACAAGCUCCUCCCGAUCUCAUGAUCGUCGAAUGGUCAAGGAGGUUGAUGCUCCAUCCUUGGACAACUUAGAGGCGAAUGAAGUUCUGACCUCCCCUCGUCGGGGGAAUCAAUUCUCAUUAACCCAAAGGUUCUUUGAGACUUAGAUCCAUGUAUUAUGAUAUCCAUGGAUCUGUGCAAUAGGAAUUAGAUUAUGAUGAGACCGAUUCGCCUUUAAAUACAAACUCUAAAUAAUUCUAGUCAUAGAUCACUCAAGAGAGACAUUGAGAUAAUCGGACAGACUAGUGUGUUGUAUACUCAUCCAUAUGAUAGAGGUAGUUGGUCUUAUAGCUACUCAUGUGGGGACACUAGGGAUAUCGUACAGGUGCUGAAUGAAAAAUGAGUUCACUGAUUGAUCCGCUUACGGAAUGCUAGAUAGUUGGUGAUAUCUCGUUGUUAGACAACGAUUCCAUCAUCUCAGUGGUGUAUCUAGUUCUUAGACUUGAGAUACCAAAGAUGUCUUAUAUUAGUACUUCACUCUUUAAUACCAGACUUAUAGACAUGAAAGUUUCAAAUCUAGCAUAACUAGUCAUUGGGAGUGGUCGCCAACCAUACGAGAGGUAUUGAGUAUCGAUAAAUAAUCAUCCACUCUCGGUGUCAUGAGUGGAAUAUCACAUGUAUUCUUACUUAGGUAAAUCUCUAGCUACAGUCAUUUGGAUUAAGAGAAAAGAAGUUUUCCGAGAGAAUCCAAUUAAAGCGAGACUCGAGUAGAAACCGUUUGGGCCUGACAACACAAUGUCUGGUAUACAAUUUCUAGGAUAUUAUAUAGAUAAGGGAUUAUAGAUACAUGGUAAUUGAGGAUAGACAGGUCUAAUGGAUUGGAUUCCCCUCCUAUAUUGUUUGAGGACUAUUGCGUAGUGGCCUAGUACAUUCGUAGCCGAUGAGUCGAGUGAAUUAUUAUAAAUAUAUUAAUUCAUUGAGUCAGAAUGAGUUCUGAUAAGUAUUACUUAUGUCCAGCUUGAUAUUAAGCCUAGAGGGUCACACACAUAUAUAGAUAAUAAUUCACAUAUAUGGUAGGUGUUGUGAUGAGUAGAGGUUCAGAUAUGAGAUAUCCAUUGGAGCCUAUAUCUUAUUGGAUAUCCAAUAAGCCCCUGAAUUAUUGGAUAAUAUGGACGAGAUCAAAUAAGGGCCAAUAAAAGAUUAUUAGGUAAAAAUUCACUAAUCUAAGAGGCUUGAGUAGUUGGAUGAAGAUCCAUUAUCUAAUAGGGUAGGAUCCAUUAUGAUUAAGUUGAUAUGAGACCUCUAUAAAUAGGAGAAAACCAAAGGGUCACAAGUUAUACCUCAUUUGACUAUCACCUUCUUUUCUCCUCUCCCCCUCUCCUCCUCAACCAGUAGCCCAUAUUUGGGGUGUGUGGACUGGAAGAAGGGUCGACCCCUUCUUGAUUAUGUGGUGUGCGCAGCAAGGAGAUUUGAGCAGCGAUUUGAGAAGCGUCUUCACAACCACUGCCAUGUGGAUUGUUGAAUCUCAGAUUUUGAUGAUGAAAUCAAUUAAUGAGUUUAUGAUCUAAUCUGUGUUUUGAGUAACGUAGGACUAACUUCGAUUAGAAAAAGCAAAUCGAUUAAAACAGGAGGAAUCAUAUGUUGGGUCAGAGUGAAACAUGUUAGGAGAUUGGACGUUGAGCUGGAGGAUCGGUCGACGUACCGGCAGAAGGACUUCAUGCCAUGAGUUCGAGCAUCGGGCCAAAGGAUCAUACAUUGCGACAAGGAGAUCGAAAGUUGCAAGAGUCAACAUGCCAAUUGGGCAAUACACCAAAGGAGAGGACGAUGCGUUGAAGGAUAGGACGAAGCAUCAAAUGAACCAAUGACAUACCGGACAAUAUAGGAUUCAUGCUUGUAAUCGUGUGUAUAGAUCGAGUUAGUUUAGGACUAAUUGAGUCAAUUUUGGGAUAAAACAAUUUCAACUCAAUUAUAGGCCAAUUGGGCCUGAUCAAGGCUAAAUUGGGUCUAUUGUUUGGCCCAUUCAGUGACCUAUAGCAGGAUCCGGUGAUGGUACUGCUAGACUGGGUGGUGGUACCGCCCAGUGUCAGACUGAUAGUUGGUGGUACCGCCCAAUACUGGCGGUAGUACCACCAAUACCCCGAAAACCCGAGAUGAGACUAUUUUGGCUCCAAAUUUGAAUCCAUUUGGGGCCUAUAAACACCCCACUUAUCCUUGCUCAAUGAAGAUAAGAAUUAAAACAAAAAUAGUGUGAAAACUCUAUAGUAAAUCCUUAAGAAUUCCCCUCUAGCUUUAAGUUUCGGUUUUAGUUUAAGAGAGGGGUGAGUGGAUUGUAAAGGUUAACUCUUGAACUCGUGAAAAAGGAGAAAAGAGUUGUAAGGGUAGUUGAUCUUUGCCCGUUGGAAAGAGGUUUAAUAGUGGAAGUCGGUGGCCUCGACUGAAGAAGAAUCGGGAGUGGACGUAGGUCAUGACGUCCGAACCACUAUAAAUCCGGUGUACUCGGUUUAUAUUUAUGUUUUGCUUUUCAUUCUCAUAUUGUAAACUAAUUUACUUUAUUACUACUCUCACUACACUUAUGAACGUGCUUUCUAAGUUUAAACGCUUUCCGAUACGAUUUCAUCGAACGAAGUUUUCAAAUCGUCAUUUUUACGACAGCAUUAAUUCACCCCCCUCCCCUCUCCCCUCUUAGUGCCGAUUUCGGUCCUAAUAGUUGGUAUCAAAGCUAAGAUUUUUUUAGUUUACUUUAACACCCAAAAGAAAUGGUUUUUACUGACAAUCAUGAGGGUCUUUCUAUUACUCAUCUUCCUAUGUUUAAUGGGAUGGACUACACAUAUUGGAGAACUAGAAUGUGAAUUUUCUUGCUUUCUAUGGAUUUCGAUUUAUGAAACAUUAUUGAAAGCGAUUUUGAAAAGUCUUCUAAACCAAUGAACGAAUGGAAUGAUUUGGAGAAGAAGACUUUCUCUUUAAAUGCUAAAGCGAUGAACACAUUAUUUUGCACUCUUGAUAAAAAUGAAUUUAAUCGGGUUUAUAUAUGCGAAACUACACAUGAGAUUUGGCAUAUAUUCGAAAUCACACAUGAAGGCACAAGUAAAAUUAAAGAGUUUAAAGUCAAUCUUUUGAUGUAUAGUUUUGAAUUGUAUCAAAUGAAGCCAAGCGAAACUAUUGUUGACAUGUAUACUUGUUUUACGGAUGUCGUCAAUAGUUUGAAAGAUCUUGGUAAAUAUUUUUCUAAUCUUGAACUUGUAAACAAGAUUCUAAGAUCUCUUCUAAAAAGUUUGGAUCCAAAAGUAACGACAAUACAACAAGCAAAGAACCUAAAUAAUUUUUCACUAGAAGAAUUUAUUGGGUCUUUAAUGACCUAUAAAAUGACUUGUAUUGAACAUGAUGAAUAUGAGAACUACCUUCCAAGGAACAUGAAGAAUUUAACACUUCAAACAAUAGAAGAUCACUCGAGAGAAAGCUCAAGUGAUGAUGACAUAGAACUUUUGACAAAAAAUCUUAAAAAGUUCAUGAAAAAAACUAGUUCUAAAAAUGAACUUAAAAAUGACACAUUUUACUAUAAAUCGAAGAAGAUACCAAAGAAGAAGAAAGCAUUCUAGACGAUAUGGGACGAAUCGAGUACAUCUAAUGAUGAUGAGUAAACCAACAAAAGCGAGGUGGCGAACUAUGCCUUAAUAGAUUUCGAUAAGGAGGUAUACAACUCAACUGAAAUGUCUUUACCGUACGAUGAAUUAUUAAAUACUUUUCAUGAUUUAUUUGAUAAAUGUAAGCUAGUUAGUGAAAAAUAUAAAUUAUUAAAAAAGGAACAUGCUUCUCUUACUAAUGAAUUUGAAAAUUUAAAAAAUGAGCACGAUAAUUGCAUGUUAACUCCUUGCACUAAAUGUGAAGAAUUAUAUUCAUGCAAAAAGAAAAUUUUAUUAUUACAAUAAAUGUUAGAUAAAUUUAAAAUUAGUAGUAAAUCUUUAAACAUGAUUCUUGCCAAUAAGAGUCAUAUUCGUAGAAAAGAAGAAAUUAGCUUUGUGAGUAGUAACACUCAACAAAAACCAACCACAUUUGUUAAAGGACCCACAUUAAAUAUUUUCCAUGAAAACAAAUUUAAUUUUUGUAGUAGACAUUAAUUUUUGUAGUAGACAAUGAUAGCUCACCACUAAGUUGAAAGUCUUUUCUAAACCCUAAAUACCAAAAUAAGUACUACUGCAUGAAAUAACCCUUCAUAGAGAAAAUUUUGAAAUUAAGUGUUUUACAAUUGUUGACCAACUCCAUAAAUGCAUUCCUUGGUCAUGAAGAAAAACACCUUGAAAUAGCUUUAACUUUGUGCAAGGAAUAUGCUGAUGAGCUAUCAUAUUUGAGUGGGCUGAGUUGAAAUUAUGAGGCAAUAUUGUUGGCUGAAAAAAAUAUCAUAUCAUCAGCAAGGUCCAUAUGAGCAAAUUGUAGCAAAUUAGACACUCCCAUGUCAAUCUCCCUUGGUUGAAAAAGACUUAUCCUUAAGUCCUUGUUUGCUUCGUCAACAUGAUUGUGAAAAGGACUUAAAUCAGCAACAUUAAAUGUUGGGGACACUCUAUAAUCUUCAGAUAGCUCGAUCUUAUAAGUGUUUUUGCCAAUUCUCUUAAGUACUUUGAAUGGACCAUCAGCCUUUGGUUUUAACUUUCUAAAUUUGCCCAGUGGAAACCUCUCCUUCCUUCGAUGAAUCUAAACCAAAUCACCAACAUUAAACUCCACAUGUUUUUUGUGUUUAUUGGUAGCUUCCAUGUACCUCUCAUUUUGCUUUUCUAUAUUUGCUUUAACAUCCUCAUUUAGCUUCUUUAUCUGCUUUUCUCUCUCAUUAGCAUCUCCACUAAAUUCCUUAGUUGUCGAAUGAGGGACGAAAUCCAAAGGACUAGUAGGAUUAGCACCAUAAACAAUAUCAAAAGGACUUUUAUCAAUACUAUGAUGCAUAGAAUGAUUGUAUGCAAACUCAAUUUGUGUAAGAAUGAUAUCUCACUGCUUAAUAUUCUUGCCAAUAUAGCUUCUAAGCAAAUUUUCCAAGGUUCUGUUCGUUAUCUCAAUUUGACCAUCUGUUUGUAGAUGAUGCGAGCUAUUGAAAUUCAAAAAAGUACCUAACUUUCUCCAAAGAGUUCUCCAAAAAUGACUAAGAAAUUUUGAAUCUCGAUCAAACACCAUAGUUCUUGGAAUACCAUGCAAUUUAACAAUCUCCUUAAAAUACAAAUCAACAAUACAAGAUGCAUCAUUCGAUUUAUUGCAGGGAACAAAGUGAGACAUUUUUAAAAAUCUGUCAACAACAACCAUGAUAGAAUCUUUGUUCCUUUGAGUUCUUGGUAGUCCCAAAACGAAAUCAAGACUCACAUCCUCCCAUGAAGCAUUUGGCACAGGCAAUGGAGUGUACAAUCCAGAAUUUUAACUUCUUAUUUUUGCUAAAUGACACACUCGACAUUGCUAUACAUGUUUCUCCACAUCUCUAAAUAUUUUAGGCCAAUAGAAGUUUGAUUGAACAAGAGCUAGAAUCUUGUCUCUACCGAAAUAUCCACCCAAAACACCACCGUGAGCUUCAGCUAGAAUUUCUUGUCUCAAAGAAUAAGAUGGAACACAUAAAGCAUUAGCUUGAAAAGAAAAAUCAUCAAAGAUAGAAAAUUAUUGAAAGGAACCUGAUUUGCAAUUCUACCAUAUUGAGCCGAAAUCCACAUCAUUCUCAUAGAGAUCUUUGAAUGUUUUAAAUCUAACCACUUUGACUUCCAUUAUUGAUAAUAAAAAAUACUUUCUGCUCAAUGCAUCAGCAACUACAUUUUGAACACCAGAUUUGUGCUUGAUUGUAAAAUUAUAAGAUUGCAAAGACUCCACUCAAGUUGUAUGCCUCUUGUUUAGCUUGUGCUGAUGAUUAAUGAACUUUAAUGCCUCAUUAUCAGAAUAUAAGACAAAUGGCUUGGUAGAAUAUUUCUUUCUCGUAUCAUUCAGCUUUUCACUAAAAAAUGCAUUGGGCUUUCCAUCUUGACUCAAAACAGCACCAAUUCCCACAUUAGAUGCAUUACAUUCAACCCCAAACACAUUGUCAAAAUUUGGUAGAACUAAGAUAGGAGCUUCAGUCACCUUUCUUUUUAAAAGCUCAAAAGCAUCAUUAGCCUCAUUAGUCCAUUUGAAUUUAUCACAUUUCAGACAUUCGGUGAUUGAAGCGAUAAUAGAGUUAAAACCCUUGAUGAAUCUUCUAUAAAAGGAAGUUAAGCUAUGGAAACUCCUCACAUCAUGCAAUGAAGUAAGUGUUGGCCAAUUGAGAAUAGCUUCUACCUUACUUUGAUCUAUCAUAAUUCCAUCUUUUGAAACAACAUAUCCCAAAAACACAACACUAGAAGUAAAGAAAUCACACUUUUUUAGACUAACAUAAAGCUUUUACUGCCUCAAAAUAAGAAAGAUCUCUUUCAGAUGAUUCAUAUGCUCCUCUUUACUCUUGUUGUACACCAAUAUAUCAUCAAAGUAAACUACAACAAAUAUUCCAAUGUAUGACUAAGUAUGUGAUUUAUAAAUCUCAUGAAAGUACUAGGAGCAUUAGAUAGCCCAAAUAGCAUAACCAACCAUUCAUAUAAGAAUUCUCUAGUUUUAAAUGAUGUUUUCCACUCAUCUCUGGGCUUCAUUCUUAUUUGGUGAUAGCCACUCCUCAAAUCAAUUUUAGAGAAAAUAUAAGCACCAUGUAAUUGAUCAAGUAAACCAUCGAAUCUUGGAAUAGGAAAAUGAUAGUCCACUGUGAUUUUAUUGAUGGUGCGACUGUCCACACAUUCUCUAAGAACCAUCCUUCUUAGGUACCAACAAGGUUGGGGCUGCAUAAAGACUCAUGCUCUCUCGAAUCAAUCCAUUUUCCAUCAACUCAUCCACUUGUCUUUAAAGUUAUCCAUGCUCCUUGGAACUCAUUCUGUAGGCUGCAUUGUUUAGUAUAAUAGGCCCUGGAAUAAGAUUAAUAUAAUGCUGGAUGUCUCUCAAAGGUAGAAGGUCAUGUGGAAUCUCUUCUGGUAUAACAUUUUUAAACUCCUCCAUGAUUUGUUUCAUGAUUGCUGGUGUCUUCUUGUGUUGUUCAUUUUCCUCUACUACUACUAGAGUCAUAACAUGACCACCCUUGUCUAAUUCACCUUUGCAUUCGCCAUAGGAUAUAAAAGCGCUAACUUCCUUCUUUGGUGCACUGAUUUCGAAAGGUUGUAAUGGAGCUAAGAUAAUAUUCUUUUCAUUCACCUUAAAAGAAUAAGUAUAUUUGUAGCCGUCAUACAACACCCUUCUAUCAUAAUGCCAAGGUCUUCCCAACAGCAAAUGACAAGCGUCCAUAGGAGCAACAUCACACCAUACUUUGUCUUUAUAAUACAUAUCAAUAGAAAACAAAACUAAACAUCUUUUAGUUACCUUGAUGUCAUUUCCUUUUUACAACCAACAUAAUUGGUAUGGAUGUGGAUGAGGGAUUGUGUCCAACUUUAGCUUCUGCAUCAUCUCCAAAUAUACCACAUUCUUAAAGCUGCCGCUGUCGAUGAUCACCAUGCAUACCUUGCCAAGAGAAGUUGAUUUAGUGUGAAACACAUUUUUUCUCACCCAACUUUCAUCCUCGGCCACAUAAGACACUUGUAAGCUAUGUUACAAUAUAAUAGACAAACCAUGAUCUGCAUANNNNNNNNNNNNNNNNNNNNCUGCAGCGACACCCAGUCGAAAUGGGAGUUCAUAUCGGACUCCAAGAUGCAUCUGUCAACCAAGAUGUCCAGUGAUCUUCAUCAUAUUUUGGUUCGUCAUCAGCUUCAUCUAUUCCUCCAUCACUAUGAUCUUCAACCAAAGUUACAAUCCUUCUAUUUGGAUAAUCUAAAGCAAUAUGCCCAAAACCAUGACAUUUGAAGUAUUUUUUUGCCACUUGGGGUAGAAUAAUUUGGUAUUUUUUUGCUGCCAGCAAAUUCUUCACCCUUUUCUUACACCUUCGAUAUCACCUUGCUAUGGAUAAUAGGCUUGGAACUUCCUCCUUUUAUAUAGCAUUCUUUUGAACUGUACUGAGAACUCUUUUCAAACUUCUGUUGCUUUUUAACUUUUAAUGUCAGCUUGCUCACAUUAUUUAAAGACCAAUAUGGCUGUAGAUGAACAAUUUUAGCAAUCUCAUAUUUUAGACCUCCUAAAAAUAUUGCAAUGGUUUUCUCUUCUGGUUCCACAAGCUCUCCUUUUAACAUUAGAUUAUCGAAUUCUGCUAUGUACUCUUCCAUACUAAGAUCUUUUUAUUGAAAAUCAUGAAUUUUGAGAAAUAUCUCUUGUCAAUAAUUGUCAGGUAAAUAUUUUCUCUUCAACUCCCUUUUUAUUUUUUCCCAUAUCACGAUCUUACUCUUUCCCUCACGUUCUCUUUAUUUUUUCAGAUUUUCCCACCAAAAAGAUAUAUUCCAUCUAAGUUUAAGUGCCACAAGUUUUACCUUAUUUUGUUUUAGUGGUUCAUGAAAAUCAAAAAAUCUUUCCAAUGUAUUAAACCAAUCAAUAAAAUCAUCAACAUUAAUUUUACCUUCAAACUCUAGAAUAUCCAAUCUUGGGUUAUAUUUGUUUUGCCACUCGUCUUGGACUCCAUGUCUUACCCGAAAUCUUCUCGACUCCCUUAGAUGAGGAGGUGUAUCAUCAUCAGAAGUAAAUUCAUGGAUAUCAUUUUCAAGCUAGUUGUGUCUACUUUGAAGUUCUUCGAUUAUUACAUUUUUUUCUUGUAGACUAUGCAUCAAUCUUCAUAGCUACAACCUCGAUGACUUAGUAUCAUCUUCAUGGCAACUACCUUCAUCAACUAUAUCUUUUUCAUUCCACCUUGCCAUGAUCUUUAACCUUUAGCUCUGAUACCGGGGGUGAUGGAGAAUGGGGGGGGGGGGUUGGUAAAGCAGAAUAGAUUUUGAUAGAAAACCGAUAGUAGAGUUGUAUUUGCUAGAAUGAGUAUUUCGAAUAAAAAAGUCACAAUAGACAAGGAACGAACUCUCGAAAAAAAGUCGCAGUAUAGUUGUAUUUGCUAGAAUGAGUGUUUUGAAUAGAAAAGACACGAACUCACGAUAAAACUUAAAUAAGAUCGAAAAAUAGCAAUCACCAAGUUAAAAUCACAAAGGGAUACAAAAAGUUCAUCACCUCAAGGAUUUUAAACAAGGAUACAGAGCUGAAAACAAAAGACUUGUCAUUCAAGGACGCAUCCAAGAGAUAUAGAGUUUAAGGGAGUACUCUAAGAGGGCUUUUGCCAAAAUAUCAUUAGUUUCUAAAGUCCUUUCUAAGCUCUAAACACCAAAAUAAGUACUAGUUCAUGAAACAACCCUUCAUGCAUAGGAAAUUUCGAAAUUAAGUGUUUUACAACUACUAACCAACUCCAUGAAUGCAUUCCUUAGUCAUGAAGAAAAGUACCUUGAAACAGCUUUAACUUUGUGCAGGGAAUAUGUUGAUGAGCUGUCAUAUUUAAGUGGGCUAAGUUAAAGAUUAUGAGGCAACAUUGUUGGUUGAAAAAAAUACAAUAUCAUUAGCAAGGCCCACAUGAGUAGAUUGUAGCAAAUUAGACAAAUCCAUAAUAAAUGAGUUUCAUUAAAUCAAGCUUCUAUUUUAGCAAAGAGAAAGAAUUCAUUAAAAGGAUUAAGAUGUCCAUACAAAAUUAAAUCUCUAUCCUUGUAAAUGAUUAUCACAUACUAAAAGUUCAUGAAUAAAAUUCUUCUUUCGUGAGUAGAUCGAGGAAGAAUUCAUGGGAAGUAAUCAUUAAAUGAAGGAUAAAAAAUCUAUGAAUAAAAUUUCAUAAAUCAAAUCCCUUUUCUUGUAAAUAGAAGGAAGAAGGAUUCAAAAGAAUUAAUUAAGUCAUUAAUCCAAAAUUCCAUGAAUCAAGGCUCUUCUUUUGCAAAUAGAAAGAUGAUCUCGAUUUAAAAAGAAAAUUUAAGUUAUGAAGAACCAAGAAAUUUGAAAAAAGAAUUUACACAUUUGGAAGAUUUAGCAUGCCUAAUUCUCUUCUAAUGAAAUCAAACUGUUCCUCAUUCAAUUUCAAAUCGUCAGAUCAUCAAAAUCACUUUCAAGAUAUUCAUAAAAAAUAACAUAAAUAGAUUUAUUAAUCUCUUUUUGAAAAAUCAAUAAGAUAGUGAUAGAGAAAUUUUCAAUAAUGCAUUACCAUUUUAGUUGUUUCAAUUCAUGUAAUUGAUUUCAUACAAGUAUACCCAAAUUUUUAUUUUUUUGUUUUUAUGUCAAAACCAUGCAUCAUAUUUAAAACCAAAAGACAAAGACAAGAUUCAUCACAAAAAUCACCAAGAUUUCAAAUCAUCAUGCAUGAUUAAAUCAUUAAAGAUGGUACCAAAACUUUUAAUAUUUUUAUUACGUAUUACAUCAUUAUGCAUCAUUAAAUCAUCAAAUAUGAUUUCAUUAAACAUAAAGUAUUUUCAAUCAAAAUCAUUUUGUUUGUAAUGCAUUUUUCUUUUUCAAUGAAUCUAACUUUUCAUGCUUAGUGCUAUGAGUUAACAUUCAAUUGUCAUGCUCAAAUUUUAAUUAUUAUUAUUUCAAAAUCACUAGAAAGAGAAGCAUGAUAAUUUUUUCUUUUACUAACUAAUUUAAAAACAACUCAUGAAAUGCAUCAAGUAAUUUUAAAAUAAGGUAAAGGAGAUUUGUUUGAGUUGUUUACCUCAUUAUCAAGAGUCAUCAAAGCGAAGUUCGCUACUUCGUCUUCAUCAGUUUACUCCUCGUCUUCCGAUACACUUAUUUCAUCCCAAGCCGUCUUGAAUACUUUCUUCUUCUUUGGUAACUUCUUCUUUUUAAGUUUAUUUUUAUUUUUUUAUUCUUGUUUUAUGAACUUUUUAAAAU
rnacentral:lncRNA from 1 species